GAUCGUACCUUGAGAGCAACCGAAAGGUUGAUACAAUAUAGGUGCGGUCUUAUGUGUCUGGCCUUGUGGUAUGCCAUUAAUUUGGUGUUGCGGGGAAUUUGGACUGUUACUUUGAAAAAAUUAGAGUGUUUAAAGCAAGCUAACGCUUGAAUACAUUAGCAUGGAAUAAUGAAAUAGGACGUUCGAUCCUAUUUUGUUGGUUUCUAGGAUUGACGUA
rnacentral:rRNA from 1 species